rnacentral:rRNA from 1 species
GCUUGUCUCAAAGAUUAAGCCAUGCAUGUCUAAGUGUAAAUACGUCUACACUGUGAAACUGCGAAUGGCUCAUUAAAUCAGUUAUCGUUUAUUUGAUGAUCUCUUGUUACAUGGGUAACUGUGGCAAUUCUAGAGCUAAUACAUGCUGUUUUGCCUGACUCUGUGGUAAGGCUGUGCUUAUUAGUACCAGAACCAACCCAAGUUCUGCUUGGUUGCAUCCUGAUUCAUAAUAAACGAAUGGAUUGCAUGCUUUGGCUGGCAAUGUAGCAUCUAAGUUUCUGACCUAUCAGCUUCCGACGGUAAGGUAUUGGCUUACCGUGGCAAUGACGGGUAACGGAGAAUUAGGGUUUGAUUCCGGAGAGGGAGCCUGAGAAACGGCUACCACAUCUAAGGAAGGCAGCAGG